AUUGAACGCUGGCGGCAUGCUUUACACAUGCAAGUCGAACGGUAACAGGCCUUCGGGUGCUGACGAGUGGCGCACGGGUGAGUAAUGCAUCGGAACGUACCCAGAGGUGGGGGAUAACGCAGCGAAAGCUGUGCUAAUACCGCAUGUGAUCUGAGGAUGAAAGCGGGGGACCGAGCAGCAAUGUUUGGCCUCGCGCCUUUGGAGCGGCCGAUGUCGGAUUAGCUAGUUGGUGGGGUAAAGGCCUACCAAGGCGACGAUCCGUAGCUGGUCUGAGAGGAGGACAAGCGAAAAGGGGACAGAGAAACGGCAAAGACUAAUACGGGAGGGAGCAGUGGGGAAUUGUGGACAAUGGGCGCAAGCAUGAUCAAGCAAUGCCGCGUGCGGGAAGAAGGACUUAGGGUUGUAAACCGCUUUUGGCAGGAACGAAACGGUGUCCGCUAAUACCGGGCGCUAAUGACGGUACCUGCAGAAUAAGCACCGGCUAACUACGUG
rnacentral:rRNA from 1 species